CAAUAGUGUAUAUUAAAGUUGUUGCAGUUAAAAAGCUCGUAGUUGGAUUUCUGGUGGGAGCGAUCGGUCUGGCGCUUAGCGCGAGUACUUGCAUCGUCUCCGGCCAUCCUUGGGGAGAGUCUGUCUGGCAUUAAGUUGUCGGGCAGAGGAUCCUCAUCGUUUACUGUGAAAAAAUUAGAGUGUUCAAAGCAGGCUUAUGCCGUUGAAUAUAUUAGCAUGGAAUAAUAAGAUAGGACUUUGGUACUAUUUUGUCGGUUUGCGCACCAAAGUAAUGAUUAAUAGGGACAGUUGGGGGUAUUCGUAUUCCGUUGUCAGAGGUGAAAUUCUUGGAUUUACGGAAGACGAACUACUGCGAAAGCAUUUACCAAGGAUGUUUUCAUUAA
rnacentral:rRNA from 1 species